ACGACUCUCGGCAACGGAUAUCUCGGCUCUUGCAUCGAUGAAGAACGUAGCGAAAUGCGAUACUUGGUGUGAAUUGCAGAAUCCCGUGAACCAUCGAGUUUUUGAACGCAAGUUGCGCCCGAUACCAUUAGGUUGAGGGCACGUCUGCCUGGGCGUCACACACAG
rnacentral:rRNA from 3 species